rnacentral:sRNA from 1 species
UGGUGGCGAAACAAAGCUGGUAUAAAAGAGGAAAUUCGAAAAUCAUAGUGUUUCAAAAGACAUAAUCAAAAAGACUUUUAUGGUUGUGAACAUGUGCAAAAAAAGUUCCACAAAAUCACUAUAUUUUUUUGAUCAAUUGUGAUAAGGAACCGGUCAUUGGGUUUGAAAUAAGUCGUUGAAUUUGAAGGAUUUCCUAUGUGUAUCCUAAUUCUGUUUGGGGUUCGUGGUCGAGGUGAUGGAAUUGAUAAGAACUGAUAAUUUGGUCACAAGAGAAAAAUUACUAUUAUAUAAGAAUUAAGAUUUUGCCACUUUGUAUGGAUGGCCCCGACCAGGUUAUAGACAUUCGUAAUAUUAUAUUAAUGUUUUGGAGCACGACAGGGAGCCGUGGUUUAUUUGCAACUGAAAUAGAAGAAAACAACAAACAAAACAAGAGGUAGCAGCAAACCCCCGGCGAUUUGACCCUAUAGUAAUACUUAGUUCUUGGACUUAAACAUAUAAAGAUAAAUAUUUCAAUCCCUUCAUGUGUAGGCCUCGAACCAUGGUAUAAUAAAAAGAUCUUCAGCAAAUUAAUUGGAGAAGGAUCCCAGAAGUCUAUGGAAGGUGCGUAAAUGGGGCAGCAGGAACAUCCACUCUCCUUUGCCUGAGCAGCUGUUGUGUUUGUUUAAUGUAUAGUGUUUGUUAUGUGUAAAGUUCCGAUUUCGUGUUCGUCCUGAGGUGUUACAAAGUAGACGGUUGAGAACCAGACCCCGAGACCGCUAGCAGAUCGAUGGUCACUUUUAAGCUGCCAAACAGGAUUAUAUAACAAUUAUUUUGGACCCAUUAUAUGUAGCCAUAAUCAAAAUCAAAAUAACCUAAUAUUUUGGUCUAUACCUUGCAAAAUUUUCUAUAGAGUUUUAAAUUUGGUACAGUCCUAUGUAUUACAUUUAGAAUAUAAGUCCUAUCGUUCUACGUUUUUGUAUAGAAUCCAUAUAAAAGUAU